CCGUACUAGUCGGGGAGGUAGCGGUGCCUUGUAACCUGCAAUCCGCUCUAGCAGGGAUUAUGCUAAGGGCAAGGGGCGGCAUCUUGAUGUGUGCAGCCAGUCAAAUAAUGAUGACAGAUUGGUACUACGCAACGGAGGACUGUGAACCAUGUCAGGCGGGGAACCGAGCAGCAUUAAGCAGAAACCAUCGUGUGCCGUAGAACUGCCGAUUUCGAGUUAUUUCAUCGGACACGCCGU
rnacentral:SRP_RNA from 1 species